CCUGCAAGAGUACACAAAACAGAAGUGGAGUUGGCUGGCAAUGAACUGCACACACCACUAAAAAUAUACACGAAUGUCGCUCACGCCGCCCAUUAUACUCACGAGCUUGGAGACCUUUUAAAAGAAGGGGGGUGUGACCGGCUUCCUGCUUGCAGGGAGGUCCCACUGCUCCAAGGCUCCCUCAGCCACGUUGGCUCUUACGUGACUGAGAGCCAAGGGCAGGGCGAUCACUGUGUCCAGAGUCCCUUUCCUUCGCACCCACCUCACACCAUCCCAGUCUUUGUUCUUGCAGUGCUGGAAAGACUCGGUGGUGCAGGGGUAAGUCAGCACAGCCUGAGUGCAUCUCGAGCAGCUGCAGCUUCUCCCUUUUCAGCCCUGCCGUGAAGGGGUUCCUGCAGCCUCCCUGCAAUCCCUAGGUAACCCCUCUGCCCAACCUCACAAAGUAGCCUAAGUGUCACAGAGCACUGGGGUGCCCUGGGCCUGAAGGGGGGAAACUGCCCACCUGGGGGUUGCCAAGGUAACCAAAGGUCAGCUGACCAGAGGGGCAGGGCCUGGCUCCUAUAUAAAGCACAGAGCAAAUGGCUGAGGCAGUUCCCUGCCAGCAGCCAGAGAGGCAGGAGCUCCCUAAGCCAGGAUAUGGGAAGAAGCAAGACUGCAGGCAAAAAGGACAAGACAGAAACGGGAUGUGAGUCAGCACGAUGGAAGAUGGGUCUGCAGGCCCCAAUUUCUCUCCCUCUUUUACCCUUACCUGGACCUGUAGCCACUGUCCUCUGUCUGCAGAAAGUGGGGAGGGCAGACAUCUGUGGUCUGGGCUGCCGACAUCUGGGCCAGCGAGGAACAGAGUGCGAAGGGCCAGGACUUUGGACAGAAGUGCUAGGACGGCACCGUGAAGGUGACCACAGACACCGGCAACCUUGCUUACAGGGCAGUGCUCCGCACACAGCUGGCUGCGGGGCAUGAAGCCCAGAGAAAACCUGUAAAGCCUUGAAUGCCAGCUGACGGGUGCCUCAGGCAGUCUCAAUCAGGGCUCAAAGCAGCCCCGUGUCUGGGGACACAAAGGUUCAGCCUCCCAUCACGACUGUCACAGAGCCCAAAGGGCUAAAGGAGGCCUCCUCCCCCAAGGUCAGAGGGGUUGGGGGGGCGCAGCCCUGUUUAGAGUGCGAGAAGAGACCAUCUCAAUGGUGCCAGGAGCAGCAGAGUAGAGGAGCAGAGGCCUGGACCUGAGUUACAGGAAGGUCACGAAGCCUCAGGGGUCCCAGCGCACCCCGUACCCUCCACAAGCCUGCAACCUUCCCUGUAGUCUGUGGGUAUCAUCUGUGGCCAACCUCACCGAGUGGGACGAGACCCGACCCGGAGAAUCAAGGGGGCCUGGACCCUGCUUACAGGCUGCAGGCCGGGGGUGGGGGCGCAGAGCAACGGCUGGCCAAGUGCCAGGGCACUCGUCCCCAGGGACUCGGGUGGGGAAUACGUGGCUGUCUCUCAAGGAGGGCAGGAACUGCACUCGAGCUACCAAGUGCCCAAAGGAACCCAAAAAGAGGGGGUCUAAGGCCUGUACCCUGGAAUACAGGGAGGCCGUGUGCCCAAAAGUAUUAGGGAGGGGGCCUAAUGCUCCGAGACCAAAAGGCCUGGAAAUCCGUCCCCCUAGGUAUGGAGGUGGGAGGAGAAGGCUACGAGGACGCAUCUCGCCCCUUUUCCAGCACUGGGAAGAAAAUAAAGUACGCUGCAGCGAUUUUUUUAACAACAAAAAGAAAAUAACAAACGCUUUCACUCCCAGGCGCCCCUCUCUCUCGCUCUCCACACACUGACAAGGGAAAAAGUGUUCCCAGGCUGGAAAG